rnacentral:lncRNA from 1 species
UGGAUCUCGUGGCAUCGGUUGGAGCAAGAUCAAGGAAUGGCAGCAGAAUCCAGAUCUGCCAUGCCCAUAGUUUGUUUCUUCUGUUCAUCUGGUCCCUGUCAACAUCCUCAUGAGCAAUGAUCCAUUCAGUUUGCUUGGAAUUUUUUUGUUGUGUAUGGAGUAGUAUAUCUUGAUAAUCUAGUAUUCCAUAUAUGUGUGGGAUGAUUUAAGGAAUUGAUUCCAUAUAUAUAUGUGUGUAUGUUGUUGUAUUUGUAAACAAAGAACGUCUGUUGAUUUUAUCCGAAAGAGACAUGCUUCUCUUGUUUGCUUCAAACAAUAUGACCAGUUUACCAAACAUCAUUUCACUCAGCCCGUGACGCCUCAUGCAACCUACCAAACACAUAUUCACCUUGGCCAGUCCCAGCACACACAAGCAACCAAACACACAUCUCAAUGUACAAUUGCAUUAGUCCAGCCAGGCCACACUCAGCCAGCAUGCUAGAUGCGAUGUAGCCAAAUGUGACCCGGGCAACCAAACACGCCCAUAGAAUGCAGCGUAUAUGCAGAUCUGACGAUAAAAUUGCAGAUGACGCUGGAGUAAAUCCGGAUAAGCAACAGCUCCUACGCCAGCUGAAGGCCGGUGAGAGCGUGCUUACGAGGGUGAGGCAGGAGAAGAAUGAUCUCCUAGAUGCCAACACCAAGCUGGGCGUGGAACUAAAAGAUGUUCGUGCCCAACUGUUGGACUUUGUUAAGGAGAAUCGGCGGCUUCGACACGGCAUAUUUAGUAAGUGCUUGAAUGAACUUUGAAAAAGAGUUCAACGAGGAAGUUGGCUGACAGAGUUAUGUCUGUAGGUAAUCUAACAGGUCGUCCUGCUGAGGAAAUGCCCGGUUCAACGGGUGACCUUCUUCCUGAGCUCUCACAGCUGCACGAACGAGCUCGGCAGGUGAUGCAAGGUGUUGCCUAGGCCUUGUGGCCAUCCGUCUCCAUACCCGAAGGCCUUGGAGAGCUUGCAGAAAAGCUGAAGGGAGAGCGGCGGUGCUUCCGAUUAUGGAAGAUAUCGGCCUGCCAUCAGGGCGCCAGGGAAGCCUGGGCAAUGGUGAAGACACGGUACACGAAGGCUGACCCGAACCACAUGGCCGAAGUCGGACUUGUGGGGCCUGAUGGGAAGGAGAUCCCUGUGAGCUUAGUGUACGGCCAAGUAGAAUUGGCCGCAAAGUAUUCCCAACAGGACUGUAGGCUAGACAGCCUACUGGAUGGUAUUGAAGAGGAAUUCAACCAGUCAAAUUGACUAUGUAAUAUUAAAGUGACAUGUAUAAUGCCUUCUAGCCGGAUUGUAGAUCAUUUGUCGUGGCGGACCUUUUCGCUUCAACCUCGGGACCCGACGGUCCGGAGUGUAUCCGAAUACCCUCUCGGUUAUGUAAGAACCGGGCAUGCAUGGAGACCAGGCGUAGGGGUCAUUAGUGCUUUAUCAGAUAAGUGCCCAACUAUUUAUGUUAUAUUACAUGGUUAGUAAGAAACAUCUUCCAGGGAGAAUAGUUCCCUUAAGGGUUCCUUUCACUGGGUAAGCAUGCCCUAAAGUGCAUGUCCGGACUGCGAUAAGAAGCACAGAAAAAUCAUCUGGGGGUAGAUAUGGAUAAUAAAUAAAAGUCAUCUUUUGUUCACCGACCGAAUAUUCCCUUAAGAACGCUAGCUUUCGGCUUCACCCAGUCUGAGGUACACGUCCGGCUGACCCGGCGGUAACAAUCGCAGAGGUGCUCCCCUUAUGCCCCAGCCGAAUUAACGGGAACGUAGGGCAUAAAUACAAGAGCCAGGCAACCCAGCUUGGCCAAAACUUAAGUCAUAUCAAUGCAUAUAAUGGUGAAAAAAGGUACAUGCGGAAGUAUAACACAUGUGUUGGGCGUGAGGCCCAGGUAAAUAAUUUAAGCUUCUAUGAAGAAGCCCCCAGGUAUGAAGAGUGCGGCUAGCGCAUCUGUAAUGUACGAGUGAGGCACAAGGUGACCCUUGAAGGCCUAGAGAAAGAAAAGAAAGAAAGGGAAACAAGACAGAUGAUGCAUAUGCAGAAAAUGGACCAAGGGAGGGGACUAACAUAGAGUCCGGUGCUAGGCGUAGAAUCUUCGAAGCCUGGCUGCGUUCUAUGGGUUCGGCUCGAGUCGACUAGUCGAUGCAUCCCGCAGUCGGUACGCUCCACCGGUCAGAACUUGGUAGAUAAUGAAGGGACCUUCCCAUUUGGGCUCGAGCUUGUUCUUUUUCUUAUCUGGCAGUCGUAGAACUAGUUCGCCAAUGUUAUAAGUUUUGGCCCGUACUUCUCUGCUUUGGUAUCUGCGAGCCUGUUGCUGGUAAAAUGCAGAACGGGCUUUGGCUACGUCGCGCUCUUCCUCCAAGGUGUCCAGACUGUCCUGCCGAUCGAGCUCGGCUUCUCUUUCUUCGUACAUGCGCACUCGAGGUGAGUCAUGAAUUAUGUCACAGGGCAGGACUGCCUCUCCGCCGUACACCAUAAUAAACGGUGUAUAUCCGGUACUACGAUUCGGCGUGGUCCGCAGCCCCCAGAGUACGGAGUCGAGCUCCUCUACCCUGUGCGUGUCAGACUCCAUUAAGGAGCGCACCUAGCUGGGUUUAAUGCCGCUCAUUAUAAGACCAUUUGCUCGUUCGACUUGACCGUUGGUUUGUGGGUGAUAGACUGAAGCAUAAUCGAGCUUGAUGCCCAUUUUGCUGCACCAGAGUUUUACCUUGUCGGCCAUGAAGUUCGUGCCGUUAUCAGUGAUGAUGCUGUGGGGGACGCCGUAAUGGUGUACAACCCCGGAUAUGAAAUCUAUCACCGGUCCGGAUUCGGCUAUUUUAACCGGUUUAGCCUCUAUCCAUUUGGUGAAUUUAUCCACCAUGACCAAUAAAUAUUUUUUCUUGUGGGUUCCCCCUUUAAGGGGUCCAACCAUGACAAGCCCCCAGACUGCGAAGGGCCAUGUAAUGGGGAUUUUUUGGAGGGCGGUGGGUGGCAUGUGGCUUUGAUUUGCAAAGAGCUGGCAACCGGCGCAACGUUGGACCAAGUCCUGUGCAUCUGCCCGGGCCGUUCGCCAAUAGAAUCCUGUAUGGAAGGCCUUGCUUACAAGAGCCCGGGCUCCGUUGUGAUGACCGCCGAGUCCGGCGUGAAUUUCUGCCAAAAGGUUCCGCCCUUCCUCUUCGGAGAUGCACUUUUGAAGGACUCCGGUAGCGCUUUUCUGUACAAUUCUCUCUCAUGGACCCUGUAGGCCUUGGAUCACCGCACUAUGCAGCGUGCCUCAUUUUGGUCCUCCGGAAGUUCCUGUCUAGUUAGGUAGGCCAGGAAUGGUUCUGUCCACGGGGCAAUAAUGGCCAUUAUUUCGUGGGCUGAAUGUGUUAUUUCGGUGGCGGAGCCUCCGAUUGUGUCAGAGAGUUCGGUAUCGGGUAUUUUGGCCGAGUCCGGACUGUUGUUACCGGUGUCCCCUUCCCAUGCUACGGAUGGCUUGAAGAGCCUUUCCAGGAAUAUGUUGGGAGGGACCGCGUCGCGUUUUGCACCGAUGCGGGCGAGGAUAUCCGCCGCCUGAUUGUUUUCCCGAGCCACAUGGUGAAAUUCGAGCCCCUCGAACCGAGCUGACAUUUUUAGGACGGCAUUGCGAUAAGCUGCCAUUUUCGGAUCCUUGGCAUCAAAGUCUCCAUUUAUUUGGGAUAUCGCGAGGUUCGAAUCCCCGCGCACCUGUAGGCGUUGAAUGCCCAUGGAUACUGCCAUCCGGAGACCAUGUAGAAGGGCCUCAUAUUCGGCUGCGUUGUUGGAGUCCGUAUACAUUAUCUGUAGUACGUAUUGAACUGAAUCUCCUGUUGGGGACGUCAAAACGAUGCCAGCCCCCAGACCAGGCAACAUUUUGGAGCCGUCGAAGUGCAUGAUCUAGUUUGAAUAUGUGUCGUACUCCUUAGGGAGUUCAGCUUUCGUCCACUCGGCGACGAAGUCAGCCAAAACUUGUGAUUUAAUAGCUCACCGUGGCUUGUAAGUUAUGUCGAACGGGAGGAGCUCAAUGGCCCAUUUGGCAAUCCGGCCCGUCGCAUCGCGGUUGUUUAUAAUAUCGUUAAGUGGUACUUCCGAGGCUACCGUUAUCGAACACUCUUGAAAGUAGUGUCGCAGCUUCCGGGAUGCCAUAAAUACCGCGUACGCUAUAUUUUGAUAAUGCGGGUACCGUGAUUUGCAUGGAGUAAGGACAGUGGAGACAUAGUAAACCGGCUUUUGAAGGGGGAAUUUGUGUCCGUCUGAUUCUCGUUCGACGACGAGCACUGCGCUUACUACUUGAUGAGUUGCCGCAAUGUAUAAUAGCAUUGGUUCGCCAAUGUUUGGCGCGGCCAGGACUGGGUUUGUUGCCAAUAUGGCUUUUAUUUCGUUGAGUCCGACCGUGGCGGCAUCCGUCCACUCGAAGUGUUUGGUGUGCCGGAGGAGGCGAUAAAGGGGUAAUGCCUUUUCUCCCAAGUGGGAGAUAAAGCGGCUUAGAGCCGCCACGCAUCCAGUCAAUUUUUGUAUUUGUUUAAGGUCUGUUGGGGUAGCCAACUGUGACAACGCUCGGAUUAUGGCCGUUAACACCGUAUUGUUGUCCACGGGAUGGUGCUCUGUGGUAUUUGGGAGGAGUAGUUCCUCACCACUUUUGGCCACCUGCCGGAGUAUCCAACAUGCUCUAAGGUUGUAUUAUGAAUUUUGUAGGGUCCGUUGAGCCAUCCCUCCAGUACGGUUCCUUGCCCCAUAUAGGGCUUUUGCUUUUUGGUAGUUAACCCAGGUGUAUUGUGAUAAUGCACCCUUUUAUUUCGGACUGGGUUUGUAUUCAGGGCCGGAUUAUCCCAAAAUUUUAUUUCGGUUUUCCAGGCGCUUUCCAUCGCACAGUACUUUCGUACUAUGGACACCAAGUCGGCAAAGCGUGUAAUUUUGCGGCGACUUAUGGCGUUGAGAAUUCCCUUGUUCGUGCAAUUAUUGCAGAAGAAUGAAAUUGCGUCUUCCUCGCGGCAGUCCUUUAUCCUGUUCAUGACCAGGAGGAAUCUGGCCCAGUAAUGGUGUACUGUUUCUUCGGGCUCUUGCCUAAUUUGGGAUAGAUCGCUUAUGUUUGGGUGGGUGGGUGGGUGGAAUUGAACCCGAAUCCUCACCCAAUCUGAGACUUAGGGGCCAAGGAGUUUCCGAACUUGGAAGUUUGGAUUCUUGGAUGUUUUCUAAUAAAUCUAGCCCGCUGCCUGACUCUAGGUUCAGGUCUUGAGUGACGUCCUCCCCUCUACGGGUAUCCGGCUUGGAGGGAUCGGGAAUCCGGACAUUGCUAGUCCUUAAGAUAGAUGAAGGGUUGCCGCAUUGUUCCUCCACCACUGCAACGUGAUGGGUGACCUGGGGAGAGUUGAUCUCUCUCAGAUCGGGUUUAGGCCCAACCUAAUCGUAGUCUGUAGCAACUCCCAGGGCGGCGAUGCGAUCCAAGAGCUCGUUCAGGGAAGAGAGCUCCAUUGGAUCUAACUGCUCGGCGAGUUCUGAGUUAACGUGAAGAUUGCUUUCGAUGACCCGAGAAGUCAUGGUUGGCGCAGCGGCCGAACAGGCAGUCAUAAGAAAACCUCCUAGCCGGAGAGUUUGGCCGAUAGCCAAAGCUCCCUUAGCAACAGUGCCGUCUUUAAAGACGGGAUGAGACAUCCUUCCUGGUGGCGACGGCAUAGCGGAACUCUCAAUGAAAGCACCAAUCUCGGUGUCAAAACCGGCGGAUCUCGGGUAGGGGGUCCCGAACUGUGCCUCUAGGCUGGAUGGUAACAGGAGGCAGGGGACACGAUGUUUUACCCAGGUUCGGGCCCUCUUGAUGGAGGUAAAACCCUACGUCCUGCUUGAUUAAUAUUGAUGAUAUGGGUAGUACAAGAGUAGAUCUACCACGAGAUCAGAGAGGCUAAACCCUAGAAGCUAGCCUAUGGUAUGAUUGUAUGUUGUGAUUGUUGUCCUACGGACUAAAACCCUUCGGUUUAUAUAGACACCGGAGAGGGUUAGGGUUACACAAGCUCGGUUGCAAAGGAGGAGAUAUCCAUAUCCGUAUUGCCUAGCUUGCCUUCCACGCCAAGUAGAGUCCCAUCCGGACACAAGACAAAGUCUUCAAUCUUGUAUCUUCAUAGUCCAAUAGUCCGGCCAAAGGAUAUAGUCCGGCUGUCCGGAGACCCCCUAAUCCAGGACUCCCUCAGUCGUGCCAGGCUUGAUGGCCGUCAACUCGUGUGGGGGCACGUCCUCUUGAUCCAUAGAUUGAUCUGGUCUGGCCGGCACUAUUGGUCAGGUUCUGACGUAGGUCGUACGUGUAACCUGGAGCCGCUGCUUCCUUGCCUUUAUGACAAGGGGCCACGGACUGGUGUUCGGCAUAAUUAGCUGUUUUGUCCCGUCCACGUGGUGGUCGGUCCGGUUGAUCAGCCUGAUUGUAGUUUGACCGUAUUGGCCCGACGGCCUUGUCGUCAAAUUGUGGCAGUAGCCUACAUUUGGGAUAACUUUUUGUUUGGUGCUCAAAGCCAUAUCCUUCUUCAGCGGCUAGGACCUUGGUCCAUCUAUUGUUCAGUGUAUCAUGUUCGGCUUUAAUCUGCUGAUGUUUCUUGUUCAGGCUCCAUGCAGUGGCGAUGAGCCAUCACUUAAAGCAUUCUUGUUCGAGGGGUUCCUCUAGGACGAUCAAUUCUUCGUCACCGAGGCUAACAUCCUCUUCGGAGACAGGUAAGUAGUUACUAUCUUUUGAAUCCUCGUGAUCGGCUUGUUCUUCGGGGCUGUAUUGAACCUCUUCCCUUUCAUCAUGCUCGAACGUAGGCUCAACGGGGUGGUCGAGGUUUUCAGUGUUGUCCAGAGUGUCAUUAUCUCCAGUGUCGGUAUUGCUUUCCCUUCCCUGACGCGAUCAUGAGCGGUGCCGCUGACGCCGGCAUUUUGGUGGUUCAUCGAUGGUCUUAUCCUCAUCUGGAUCUUGAGUGCCAUCCUCGUCCCUCUUCUUAGUGGUAUCCACCAUGUAUAUGUCAUAAGUAGAAGUGGUCGUCCAACGCCCAGUGAUGGGCGGAUUUUGACCUGGAUCGGUUUCGACACCGUCAUCCAUGCCAUCGAUGUCUUCGGAGACAUAGUCUAGCAUGUCAGUUAAAUCCUCGACAGUGGCUAUGAAGUGGGUGGUGGGUUGGACGUAAAAUUCCCUACUCUCAGCCCCCAGUUCAAGCUGGGUGUAGUUUGGAGGUGAUACUUCCGUGAUGGCGAGAGAUUGUAUAAGCUCCAGCGUUUUGUUUAAGAGCGAAAGCCGGUGAUACGUCCCCAACGUAUCUAUAAUUUUUGAUUGUUCGAUGCUAUUAUAUUAUCAACCUUGGAUGUUUUAUAUGCAUUUAUAUACUAUUUUAUAUGAUUUUUGGGACUAACCUAUUAACCCAGAGCCAAGUGCCAGUUUCUGUUUUCCCCUUGUUUCAGUGUUUCGCAGAAAAGGAAUAUCAAACGGAGUCCAAACGGAAUUAAACCUUCGAAAAAGUUAUUUUUGGAAACAAAGCAAUACAGAAGACUUGGAGUGCACGUCAGGGGAUCAACGAGGAAGCCACGAGGCAGGGGGCGCGCCCUCCACCCUCGUGGGCCCCUCGUGGCUCCCCUGAUGUAUUUCUUCCGCCUAUAUAUAUCCAUAUACCCUAAAACGAUCGGGGAGCACAAUAGAUCGGGAGUUCCACCGCCAGAAGCCUCCGUAGCCACCGAAAACCAAUCUAGACCCGUUCCGGCACCAUGCCGGAGGGGGAAUCCCUCUCCGGUGGCCAUCUUCAUCAUCCCGGCACUCUCCAUGACAAGAAGGGUGUAGUUCUCCCUCGGGGCUGAGGGUAUGUACCAGUAGCUAUGUGUUUGAUCUCUCUCUCUCUCUCUCUCUUGUGUUCUUGAUUUGGCACGAUCUUGAUGUAUCGCGAGCUUUGCUAUUAUAGUUGGCUCUUAUGUUCUUGAUUGAGUUUUCCCUUUGAAGUUAUCUUAUCGGAUUGAGUCUUUAAUGAUUUGAGAACACUUGAUGUAUGUCUUGCUAUGUGUAUCUGUGGUGACAAUGGGAUAUCACGUGAUUCACUUGAUGUAUGUUUUGGUGAUCAACUUGCAGGUUCUGCCCAUGAACCUAUGCAUAGGGGUUGGCACACGUUUUCAUCUUGACUCUCCGGUAGAAACUUUGGGGCACUCUUUGAGGUUCUAUGUGUUGGUUGAAUAGAUGAAUCUGAGAUUGUGUGAUGCAUAUCGUAUAAUCAUACCCACAGAUACUUGGGGUGACAUUGGAGUAUCUAGGUGACAUUAGGGGUUUGGUUGAUUUGUGUCUUAAGGUGUUAUUCUAGUACGAACUCUAGGGCUGUUUGUGGCACUUAUAGGAAUAGCCCAACGGAUUGAUUGGAAAGAAUAACUUUGAGGUGGUUUCGUACCCUACCAUAAUCACUUCAUUCGUUCUCCGCUAUUAGUGACUUUGGAGUGACUCUUUGUUGCAUGUUGAGGGAUAGUUAUAUGAUCCAAUUAUGUUAUUAUUUUUGAGGGAACUUGCACUAGUGAAAGUAUGAAUCCUAGGCCUUGUUUCAACGCAUUGCAAUACCAUUUGUGCUCACUUUUAUCAUUAGUUACCUUGCUGUUUUUAUAUUUUCAGAUUACAAAAACCUUUAUCCACCAUCCACAUACCGCUUGUAUCACCAUCUCUUCACCGAACUAGUGCACCUAUACAAUUUACCAUUGUAUUGGGUGUGUUGGGGACACAAGAUACUCUUUGUUAUUUGGUUGCAGGGUUGCUUGAGAGAGACCAUCUUCAUCCUACGCCUCCUACGGAUUGAUAAACCUUAGGUCAUCCACUUGAGGGAAAUUUGCUACUGUCCUACAAACCUCUGCACUUGGAGGCCCGACAACGUCUACAAGAAGAAGGUUGUGUAGUAGAUAUCAAGCUCUUUUCUGGCGCUGUUGUCGGGGAGGUUAGCGUUUGAAGGUAUAUCUUUAGAUCUUGCAAUCGAGUCUUUUUGUUUCUUGUUUUAUCACUAGUUUAGUCUAUAAAAGAAAAUUAUAAAAAAUAUGGAACUAAGGGUACCUCAUAUGCUUCAUCUUUUUAAUAUCUACCAUGAAAAUAAGGAUUCUGAUAAUUCUGCUCAAGUGCUAGAGGAAGAAUGCAUUAGAAUGUUUGGCACUAAAUCUUUGAAUGAUGAGCACGAUUGCAAUGUUGUUAGUAUGGAUUCCUUGAAUAUCUAUGAUGUUAAUGAUAUGCAAAGCCACAAGCUUCGGGAAGCUAUGUAUGAUGAAGAUGAUAUUUUUUUGUCCCCUAAGCUUUGAUGAGCAAAUUUAUUAUGAUGAAAGCAUGCCUCCUAUUUAUGAUGAUUAUAUUGAUGAAAGUGGAAUUGGAGAGGUCAUGACUUUAUUUUGUGAUGAAUCCACUAUUUCGGAAGAGGUUCCAAUUGAUUAUGAGACAAAGUUGCUAUCUAUGAUGAUUAUUGUGAUGACUUGUAUGCUAUAAAUAAUAAUGAUAUCCAUGAAACUUGUCAUCAUGAUUUUAGUUUUCAAUUGGAUUAUGCCUCACAUGAUAAUUAUUUUGUUGAGUUUGCUCCCACUAUUAUUCAUGAGAAGAAUUUUGUUUAUGUAGAGAGUGGUAAAUUUUCUAUGCUUGUAGAUCAUGAAAAUGAUUUAGGUGUUGGUUAUACUGUUGAAUUCAUUCAUGAUGCUACUGAAAAUUAUUAUGAGGGAGGAACAUAUGCUUGCAGGAAUUGUAAUAAUAUCAAGUUUCCUCUCUAUGUGCUUAAAAUUUUGAAGCUAUGCUUGUUUUACCUUCCUAUGCAAGUUGAUUCUUGUUCCCAUGAGUUGUUUUCUCACAAAAUCCCUACGCAUAGGAAGUGGGUUAGGCUUAAAUGUGCUAGUUGAUGAAGCUAUGUACCUAGGGUAGGGUCAUGGACCUAUCCUAACUGCCCUACCCAAGGACAUCUCUAGAAGAAAUCACCUUUCAAUCGACUUGGAGGUGUUCCACUCGACAAACUCGAAGACACUCGACCAAGAAGCAAUCACCCGACCAAGAUCCAACCACUCGACGGCCAGGAGGCCUAAAGUCACUCCGCACGCUAACGGUCGGUCAUUAAGUAGCCUUUAUGGUCAUCAUAGCACUUUAUUAGGGGCGUUGCCAGCAACGCCCGACCUUAAUGUAUUUAAAACCCUACAUAACUAAGGGCCGGAGGGGGCUGGCGAACUCUAUAUAAGCCAACCCCUCCUCAGUGUAAAGGGUUCGCACCCCUGUGAUUCAUACAUACGUAAUCCAGUCGACCGCCUCCGGGCUCCGAGAUGUAGGGCUUACAACUCGUAAACCUCGUGUGCUUACAACUACUCCAUACCUAAGAUCUUGCCUCUCCAUACCUAGCCCCCUACAUUACUAUCAGACUUAGAACCACGACAGUUGGCGCCCACCGUGGGGCAGGUGUAUUAGCGAUUUGUUGGAGGAGUUGCGAUCUUUUCCGAUCCAAAUCAUCAUGGUUUCUGGCGGAGUUUUGGUGGAGGGCCGCGAGAUCCGUCUCGGCGCGCUCAAGUUCAUCACCGACGACUCCGCUUGGCUUCAGGAGGCUCCACUCGACGUCGACGCACUCCCUGUCCGUGGGGCAAUGCACUUUCGCGCGUGCGUUCGCGGCGUCCUCUUGUGGCAACCGUCGACCCAUUAUCGUCCGGCCCCUGUUUUGUCCCCCCUCCCUGUUUCCCGCCAGCGCAAGCGCUCCGGUCGGUUGAGACUUCAGCGGUGGGUGAGACACGCGGUGGCACGCCAGUCGGCCACCCCUCAAGUCGCGGCGAUCGAGCCCGACGAAUCCCUCUACGGCAUGUUCGACCUGUCGACUGGCAGUGAUCCGGCAGCGGAGGUUCUGAUGGUCGAUGGACCGCGCAGUCCUCCCGGUUUUUCUCGCACCGACGGAGGCGCAGGUGGAGGCGACCCGUCGCAUCCCCAUGAGGAAUAUCUCCCCGAGCCUCUCACGUCGCUGCAGAGAGAAGAACUUCGUCGCCGGAACAUGGAUGCACUGCACACUCCUAUCGUUGGAGAAACCCCCGAGGCUCGUGCCUUGGAGGAUGCGCGCCUGGCAAACUUGGCUGAGCGCACUCGACUGGAGAACCUCCAGCGAGCACUCGACGAGCGUGCACGACAAUGGGUUCCAGAAUCAAGUCGGCGUCAGCUCUUUCCGCCCCCGCAGGUAUAUCGAACUCCGAUUCAGAAUUUAGCAGCUGCAGCCCGUAUAGCAGAGUCGAUUCAGUCUUCCCAGUCAGAGGCUGGCAGAGGCUUGCUGCAGAUCAGAGCGUUACUCUGGGCAGCAGGAGACCAGAAUUCCGCUGUUUCUCAGUCGCAGAACAGGAUUCAUAGCAGAUCCAUUGCUGCAGACACAGUCCAGUCGGCUCAUAGCCCAAGAUCGCCCCCGAGGCGUGAGGGACGUGGGGACCGGCAUGAUCAGUACGGAAACCGUGAGCAGUAUGAUCACCGAUUCGAUCGUGAUGAUCGACGUCGAGUGUCCACCCCUCCCCCGAGGAGUGGAUCGUAUGUGCCUCGACAGCAGGAUGACACGCGCCCUCAUAGUGUUGGGCGAAGGAUUCCAGUCGACCCCAGGGAACCAGGCUUUGAUGCGAGAUCCAUUCUCGUUCAAGGUUUGGUCGACAAGAACAGAGCUCACCGAGAAGGUCAUGAUAGAGAUGCACCUACCAGCAGCAGAGUACAUGUUUCGGGGCCAGAGUGCUCUAGUAGAGCCAUCAGGGCCGCUGUGAUUCCUCCCAACUUCAGGUUGGCGACUGGAGUCAGUAAGUUCACUGGUGAGUCCAAGCCCAAUACUUGGCUUGAAGACUACCGAGUGGCUGUCCAGAUUGGCGGUGGCAAUGAUGAAGUGGCCAUGAAGCACCUGCCUCUCAUGUUGGAGGGCUCGGCCAGAGCGUGGCUGAAUCAGUUAGCACCCAGCAGCAUUUACACUUGGGAAGAUCUUGCUCGAAUGUUCGUCACCACAUUUGAAGGAACAUGCAAGCGACCGGCAGGGCUGGCGGAACUACGGUCUUGCGAGCAGAAGCCGAACGGAACUUUGAGGGAUUACAUCCAGAGAUGGAUCACGUUACAUCACAUGGUAGAGAAUGUGCGUGAUCACCAAGCAGUCUGUGCCUUCAAAGAAGGCAUCAAGUACAGAGAACUGAAUCUGAAAUUCGGUCGAACCGGAGACAUGUCUCUGAAUCGGAUGAUGGAGAUUGCCACCAAGUACGCUAAUGGUGAAGAUGAGGAUCGACUCCGGAGUGGCAAGCACAAGUCAGUCGCCCAAGAAACAGGAGGAGGAAAUUCCAAUCAGAAACAGAAGCGGAAAGCCAAGCCAGCUGCUCCUGGGGAAGCCUUGGCUGUAACUCAAGGAAAGUUUAAGGGGAAACCCAAAGGGCCUUGGAACCCCAAGAAAGUUAAAGACCAAGACGGAAAUGAUGUGUUGGAUUUGCCAUGUCACAUCCACACCAAGAAAGAUGAAGAGGGUAAGCUCAUUUACCCGAAACAUACCACUCGACAGUGUCGGCUCUUGAUCCAGCAGUUCCAGGGCAAACAGCCCAAAGAUAAGGAAAAGGAGUCGGACAAAGUUGAGGACAAGGAAGACAGUGAUGAUGGAUACCCCCAGGUCAAUUCCACCUUGAUGAUUUUUGCUGAUGUUGAAAGCAAAAGUCGACUGAAAGUUAUCAACCGUGAGGUGAAUAUGGUUGCUCCGAUGACACCCAGUUAUCUGAAGUGGUGUCAGACUGCCAUCACAUUCGACCAGUCCGAUCACCCAACGCACAUUGCCACCCCUGGGAGGCAAGCUUUGGUGGUCGACCCAGUUGUUGAAGGCACUCGACUGACCAAAGUCUUGAUGGAUGGUGGCAGUGGUUUGAACAUACUAUAUGUCGAGACGUUGACAGGGAGGGGCAUUCCGAUGUCCAGACUCAGUACCAGCAACAUGAGUUUCCAUGGAGUCAUUCCUGGGAAGAAGGCUGAGUCACUCGGCUAGAUUGCUCUUGAUGUGGUUUUCGGUGAUUCCAAGAAUUACCGCAAAGAAAAGUUGACGUUUGAAGUUGUGGAUUUCCAGAGUGCUUAUCACGCUAUUUUGGGCAGGCCAGCUUACGCACGCUUCAUGGCUCGACCAUGUUAUGUAUAUCUCAAAUUGAAGAUGCCUGGUCCCAAAGGUGUGAUCACUGUUACGGGCAACCGGAAGAAAGCAGAAGAGUGUUUUCAGAAAGGCUCAAAGAUCGCUGAUGCUCAGAUGGUAGUGGUGGAGCUGCAGGAGUACCAGAAGACUGCAGACCCGAGUGAUUUGUUGCGAGCCAAGAAGCCCGCUACAGAAUCAGCUUUUCAGUCGUCUGGUGAAACGAAGCCGGUUCACAUUCACCCGACCGAUCCCAGUGCUGCUCCGACUCAUAUCUCAACAACACUCGACUCCAAAUAGGAAGAAGCGCUCAUCUAGUUCCUCCGUGAGAACUGGGACAUCUUCGCAUGGAAACCUUCCGACAUGCCGGGUGUUCCCAGGGGGCUGGCUGAGCACCGCCUACGAGUCGACUCAAAAGUGAAACCCGUCAAAGAACAUCUCCGACGGUCCGCCGUCCAGAAGAGAAAGGCUAUUGGUGAGGAGGUGGCUCGGCUCUUAGCAGCGGAGUUCAUCCGAGAGAUUUACCACUCCGAGUGGCUCGCCAACAUUGUUAUGGCCCCCAAGAAGGACAAGUCACUUCGCAUGUGCAUUCGCUUUAAACAUAUCGAUCGGGCCUGCCCGAAAGAUCAUUUUCCUCUCCCCCGCAUCGACCAGAUAGUCGACUCGACUGCGGGAUGUGAGCGACUGUCUUUUUUAGACGCCUAUUCCGGGUACCAUCAGAUUCGUCUGUAUGGACCUGACGAGAUCAAAACAGCUUUCAUCACUCCAUUCGGGUGCUUCUGUUAUGUUACCGUGCCAUUCGGCCUCAAGAAUGCCGGAGCCACAUUCAUGAGGAUGAUUCAGAAGUGUUUGGUCACUCAAAUCAGUCGGAAUGUGGAAGCAUACAUGGAUGAUAUUGUGGUCAAGUCACAGAAGGGUACCGACCUGCUGACUGACCUUGCUGAAACCUUUGCCAACCUCAGGAGGUAUGAUAUCAAGCUUAAUCCAUCAAAGUGCACAUUCGGAGUUCCUGGCGGAAAGUUACUCGGUUUUCUUGUUUCCGAACAGGGAAUUGACGCCAAUCCAGAAAAAGUCGGUAAUAUACUCCGGAUGAAACAUCCCGUGCGAGUGCACGACGUCCAGAAGCUUACUAGUUGCUUGGCCGCUUUAAGUCGAUUCAUCUCUCGUCUCGGUGAAAAGGCAUUGCCUCUUUACCGAUUGAUGAAGAAGUCAAACAAGUUCGAGUGGACUCCUGAAGCUGAUGCAGCGUUUGCAGAGCUCAAAGCUCUGCUCUCCACCCAGCCGGUGCUUGUUGCCCCAAUCAGCAAACAGCCUUUGCUGCUUUACAUCGCAGCCAUGGGACAAGUCGUCAGUACGGUACUUACGGUCGAGCGGGAAGAAGAAGGAAAAGCCUUCAAAGUUCAGCGCCCAGUAUAUUAUAUUUCUGAAGUUUUGACCCCGUCGAAGCAAAGAUAUCCUCAUUAUCAGAAGCUUGUAUAUGGGAUUUAUAUGACCACAAAGAAGGUUGCUCACUACUUCUCUGAUCAUUCCAUUACAGUCGUCAGCAACACUCCAUUGUCAGAGAUCCUGCACAACAGAGAUGCAACUGGUCGAGUGGCAAAAUGGGCGAUUCAACUCCUUCCUCUAGAUAUCAAGUUUGAGGCAAAGAAAGCUAUCAAGUCCCAAGCAAUAGCAGAUUUCGUCGCCGAGUGGAUUGAACAACAGCUGCCGACUCAGGUUCACUCGGAGCAUUGGACCAUGUUCUUCGACGGUUCCAAAAUGCUGAAUGGUUUCGGUGCCGGGGUAGUAUUGGCCUCCCCCCGAGGAGAUAAGCUCAGAUAUGUUCGUCAAAUCCACUUUGAUUCCUCCAAUAACGAAGCAGAAUAUGUAGCACUUUUAUAUGGGUUGCGCAUGGCCAUUUCACUCGGCGUCCGUCGCCUCAUGGUUUAUGGCGACUCAGAUUUGGUGGUUAAUCAAGUGAUGAAGGAUUGGGACGUCAGAAGUCCGGCCAUGACUGGUUAUUGCAAUGCGGUGAGAAAGCUGGAGAAGAAAUUCGAGGGGUUAGAACUUCAUCACAUACCUUGACUGAAAAAUCAAGCAACUGAUGAUUUGGCAAAAAUAGGUUCCAAAAGAGAAGCCAUUCCCAGCAAUGUGUUUUUGGAACACAUCCACACACCAUCACUUCAGGAGGAUCCCUUCACUGAAGAAGCCCCGCAGCCAAAAAGUGCCACGGAUCCGAUUGAAGUUGAAGUUCCAGCUGUGGUCGACCUGAUCAUGGAAGUUUUGGUCAUCACUACCGACUGGACGGUACCGUACAUCGCGUAAAUCCUAAGGAAAGAACUCCCAGAGGACAAAGAAGAGGCUCGAUAGAUCGUCCGUCGAUCCAAGGCCUUUACAGUCAUAAAGGGACAGUUGUAUAGAGAAAGCGCGACUAGAGUCAGUCAGAAGUGUAUAACACCAGAAGAAGGUCAGAUAAUCCUUGAUGAUAUCCACUCGGGGACCUGUGGUCAUCAUGCGUCCUCUCGGACCAUUGUGGCUAAAGCAUACCGAGCGGGAUUCUACUGGCCAAGGGCGAAUGAAAUGGCAAAAGAGAUAGUCGACAAAUGUGAAGGAUGUCAGUUUUACUCCAAUAUGUCGCACAAACCUGCGUCAGCCUUGAAAACCAUUCCACUCGCCUGGCCCUUCGCUGUUUGGGGACUGGACAUGGUUGGACCACUAAGUACGGGCAGGAGCGGCUUCACUCAUGUGCUAGUAGCAGUCGACAAGUUCACCAAAUGGAUUGAAGCUAAGCCUAUCAAGAAUCUUGAUGCUUGCACUGCUAUCAGUUUCAUCAGAGAGUUGAUAUUCAGAUAUGGAGUUCCACACAGCAUCAUCACUGACAAUGGGUCAAACUUCGAUUAUGACAAAUUCAGAGCCUUUUGCGCCUCUCAAGGCACACGAGUCGACUACGCUUUAGUCGCUCACCCCCAAUCGAAUGGACAAGAGGAAAGAGGAAGCGGCUUAAUUCUCAAAGGACUGAAACCCCGACUGAUGCGCGAUCUCAAGCACGCAGCAGGUGCAUGGGUCGAUGAGCUUCCAUCAGUUCUUUGGGGAUUGAGGACAACCCCGAACCGAUCGACUGGAAGAACCCCAUUCUUUCUGGUCUACGGAGCUGAAGCAGUUUUGCCGAGUGACCUGCUUCAUAACGCACCCCGAGUCGAGCUCUAUUCUGAAGAUGAAGCAGAACAAGCCCGGCAGGACGCAGUCGACCUCCUGGAAGAAGAAAGAGAAAUGGCCAUGAUCUGAUCGACCAUCUAUCAGCAAGACUUGCAUUGAUUCCAUGCCAGAAAUGUGAAGAGUCGAGCCUUCCAAGAAGGUGACUUGGUCCUCCGAGUGGAUCAACAGAAACCACACAAACUCGCUCCUACUUUGGAAGGUCCCUUCAUAGUCACCAGAGUCCUCCACAAUGGAGCGUACCACCUUUAUAAUGUUGAUCGCCAGAUUGAUGAGCCACGAGCCUGGAAUGCGGAGCUACUCCGCCCCUUUUAUACUUGAAUUCUCACUCAGAUGAGAUGUAAUAAGAAAAACUUCUGUAGUUUAUUUAUCAAAGACAAGAGCGUUAUAAUUUUCCCAGUGAUUGUUAUUGUUUUUGUUUGCGUGAGAAAUCCCCCAGUGGGUGGCUUAGCUGCGAAUCCGUUUCGCCUAAGUUUGUAAAAA